GAAGCGGCGCUACUCCUUGGGGGAAGAUGGCGCCCUUGGGGCUGAAGGCGGUGGUAGGGGAAAAAAUUCUAAGCGGAGUCAUCCGGAGCGUUAAGAAGGAUGGCGAGUGGAAGGUACUCAUCAUGGACCACCCAAGCAUGCGAAUCUUGUCAUCCUGUUGUAAAAUGUCAGAUAUCUUGGCGGAGGGCAUCACCAUUGUGGAAGACAUCAACAAACGGAGAGAACCCAUUCCCAGCCUGGAGGCAAUUUAUUUGCUAAGUCCCACGGAGAAGUCGGUUCAGGCCCUGAUUGCAGACUUCCAGGGGACACCAACCUUCACCUACAAAGCAGCCCAUAUCUUCUUCACUGACACAUGCCCUGAGCCCUUGUUCAGUGAACUGGGCCGCUCUCGCCUGGCAAAGGUGGUGAAGACACUGAAAGAGAUCCACCUUGCCUUCCUCCCCUAUGAGGCUCAGGUGUUCUCUCUGGAUGCCCCGCACAGCACCUACAACCUUUACUGCCCGUUUCGAGCAGGCGUGCGGGGACGGCAGCUUGAUGCGUUGGCCCAGCAGAUAGCCACACUGUGUGCCACUCUUCAGGAAUACCCGUCCAUUCGCUACCGCAAGGGUCCAGAAGACACAGCCCAGCUGGCCCAUGCUGUCCUGGCCAAGCUGAAUGCCUUCAAAGCAGACACUCCUAGUCUGGGCGAGGGCCCAGAGAAAACACGCUCGCAGCUGCUCAUAAUGGACCGGGCAGCGGACCCCGUGUCCCCACUAUUACAUGAACUCACAUUCCAAGCCAUGGCCUAUGAUCUUCUCAACAUCGAACAGGACACAUACAGGUAUGAGACCACAGGGCUGAGUGAGUCCCGGGAGAAGGCCGUGCUCCUGGAUGAAGAUGAUGACCUGUGGGUGGACCUUCGGCACAUGCACAUAGCAGAUGUUUCCAAGAAGGUCACCGAGCUCCUGAAGACAUUCUGUGAGAGUAAGCGGCUGACCACGGACAAGGCCAACAUCAAAGACCUGUCCCACAUCCUGAAAAAGAUGCCACAGUAUCAGAAGGAGUUGAACAAGUACUCUACGCACCUGCAUUUAGCAGAUGACUGCAUGAGGCAUUUCAAGGGCUCAGUGGAGAAGCUGUGCAGUGUGGAGCAGGACCUGGCCAUGGGCUCUGAUGCAGAGGGUGAGAAGAUCAAGGACGCCAUGAAGCUGAUUGUCCCCGUGCUGCUGGACGCCUCGGUGCCACCCUAUGACAAGAUCCGAGUUCUGUUGCUCUACAUCCUUCUGCGGAAUGGUGUGAGUGAGGAAAACCUGGCCAAGCUGAUCCAGCACGCCAAUGUGCAGUCCUACAGCAGCCUCAUCCGGAACUUGGAGCAGCUGGGGGGCAUUGUUACGAACUCCGGGCCCUACCCCGUCUCCCUGCCUUUGUGUCCAUCUCUGUAUCUGUGUGUCUGUAUAUGCCUCUCUGUUUGUCUUUUCUUGGCUCUGUCUCUUAUCUCCCAUGUCUGUCUUUACCUGUCUCUCUGUCUUCCCAUCUUUCUUUGUCUCUCUCUGUCUCUCUCUCUCUCCAUUUCUGCCUCUGCCUAUCUCUGCCUCUCGAGUUCUCUUUGCCUCUGUCUCUCUGCUUUUCCUGUGUUUCUGUGUCUCUAUCUCUCUGUCUGUUUUUUCUCUCUUUUUGCUACUGCUUUCCUCUGUCUCUUCCUGCUCUAUUUCUCCAUCUUUCUGUGUACCCCCAUAGCCCCUCUCCAUCUGUGAUGGGCCUCCUUCCCUUCCCAAUCCCGUUCUGUCCCCACCUGGCCCCCUCUGUAGGGCUCAGGGACCCCUAGCCGGCUGGAGCGGAGAGAGCGCAUGGAGCCCACCUACCAGCUGUCUCGCUGGUCCCCAGUCAUCAAGGACGUGAUGGAGGAUGUGGUGGAGGACCGGCUAGACCGAAAGCUGUGGCCCUUCGUGUCUGACCCUACCCCUGUGCCUAGUUCCCAGGCAGCUGUCAGUGCUCGCUUUGGCCACUGGCAUAAAAACAAAGCUGGUGUAGAGGCCCGGGCUGGGCCCAGGCUUAUCGUGUAUAUUGUGGGUGGUGUCACCAUGUCUGAAAUGAGGGCUGCCUAUGAGGUGACCAGGGCCACUGAAGGCAAGUGGGAGGUGCUUAUAG